UUAGAUACCCUAGUAGUCCACGCCGUAAACGAUGAAUACUAGGUGUCGGGGGUUCACGGACGCCCGGUGCCGCAGCAAACGCAAUAAGUAUUCCACCUGGGGAGUACGUUCGCAAGAAUGAAACUCAAAGGAAUUGACGGNGACCCGCACAAGCGGUGGAGCAUGUGGUUUAAUUCGAAGNCACGCGAAGAAACCUACCANGUCUUGACAUCCCUCUGACGCACACGUAACGGUGUGUUUACUCCGGUACAGAAGAAACAGGUGGUGCAUGUUUGCCUUCAACUCUGGGCUGGAAAUGGUUGGGUUAAUUCCCCAAAAGAACCCCACCCCUUUGUCCUUAUUUCCCCCCCUUUUAAAGGGGGGGCCCUUUUGGGAAAAACACCGGGGAAACCCCCGAAAAAAGGGGGGGGUUUAACAUCUAAAAUUUUUUUUUCCCCCCUUAAAAAUGGGGGGUCACCACCGGGCUUAUAGGGGGGAAUUUCAAAAGGGGGGGCCCCCCCGGGCUGGGUGUCCCCAAACACAAAAAAAAAAGUCCUCCUCCGUGGGUGUUUGGGGGGGGGGCCUCACCCCCCCGCCUUCGGGNCGCUCUUGGCUUGGCCGGAUAAUAAAAAAAGAAA
rnacentral:rRNA from 1 species